rnacentral:rRNA from 1 species
UAGGGAAUCUUCGGCAAUGGGGGCAACCCUGACCGAGCAACGCCGCGUGAGUGAAGAAGGUUUUCGGAUCGUAAAACUCUGUUGUAAGUCAAGAACGAGUGUGAGAGUGGAAAGUUCACACUGUGACGGUAGCUUACCAGAAAGGGACGGCUAACUACGUGCCAGCAGCCGCGGUAAUACGUAGGUCCCGAGCGUUGUCCGGAUUUAUUGGGCGUAAAGCGGGCGCAGGCGGUUUGAUAAGUCUGAAGUUAAAGGCUGUGGCUCAACCAUAGUUCGCUUUGGAAACUGUCAAACUUGAGUGCAGAAGGGGAGAGUGGAAUUCCAUGUGUAGCGGUGAAAUGCGUAGAUAUAUGGAGGAACACCGGUGGCGAAAGCGGCUCUCUGGUCUGUAACUGACGCUGAGGCUCGAAAGCGUGGGGAGCGAACAGGAUUAGAUACCCUGGUAGUCCACGCCGUAAACGAUGAGUGCUAGGUGUUGGAUCCUUUCCGGGAUUCAGUGCCGCAGCUAACGCAUUAAGCACUCCGCCUGGGGAGUACGACCGCAAGGUUG